rnacentral:rRNA from 1 species
AGUGAACGCUGGCGGUAGGCCUAACACAUGCAAGUCGAACGGCAGCACAGUAAGAGCUUGCUCUUACGGGUGGCGAGUGGCGGACGGGUGAGGAAUACAUCGGAAUCUACUUUUUCGUGGGGGAUAACGUAGGGAAACUUACGCUAAUACCGCAUACGACCUACGGGUGAAAGCAGGGGAUCUUCGGACCUUGCGCGAUUGAAUGAGCCGAUGUCGGAUUAGCUAGUUGGCGGGGUAAAGGCCCACCAAGGCGACGAUCCGUAGCUGGUCUGAGAGGAUGAUCAGCCACACUGGAACUGAGACACGGUCCAGGCUCCUACGGGCGGCAGCAGUGGGGAAUAUUGGACAAUGGGCGCAAGCCUGAUCCAGCCAUACCGCGUGGGUGAAGAAGGCCUUCGGGUUGUAAAGCCCUUUUGUUGGGAAAGAAAAGCAGCAGGUUAAUACCCCGCUGUUCUGACGGUACCCAAAGAAUAAGCACCGGCUAACUUCGU